GGAGUCGGCGUCCUAUACAUGCAGUCGAGCGGACAGAAGGGAGCUUGCUCCCGGAUGUUAGCGGCGGACGGGUGAGUAACACGUGGGUAACCUGCCUGUAAGACUGGGAUAACUCCGGGAAACCGGAGCUAAUACCGGAUAGUUCCUUGAACCGCAUGGUUCAAGGAUGAAAGACGGUUUCGGCUGUCACUUACAGAUGGACCCGCGGCGCAUUAGCUAGUUGGUGAGGUAACGGCUCACCAAGGCGACGAUGCGUAGCCGACCUGAGAGGGUGAUCGGCCACACUGGGACUGAGACACGGCCCAGACUCCUACGGGAGGCAGCAGUAGGGAAUCUUCCGCAAUGGACGAAAGUCUGACGGAGCAACGCCGCGUGAGUGAUGAAGGUUUUCGGAUCGCAAAGCUCUGUUGUUAGGGAAGAACAAGUGCAAGAGUAACUGCUUGCACCUUGACGGUACCUAACCAGAAAGCCACGGCUAACUACGUGCCAGCAGCCGCGGUAAUACGUAGGUGGCAAGCGUUGUCCGGAAUUAUUGGGCGUAAAGGGCUCGCAGGCGGUUUCUUAAGUCUGAUGUGAAAGCCCCCGGCUCAACCGGGGAGGGUCAUUGGAAACUGGGAAACUUGAGUGCAGAAGAGGAGAGUGGAAUUCCACGUGUAGCGGUGAAAUGCGUAGAGAUGUGGAGGAACACCAGUGGCGAAGGCGACUCUCUGGUCUGUAACUGACGCUGAGGAGCGAAAGCGUGGGGAGCGAACAGGAUUAGAUACCCUGGUAGUCCACGCCGUAAACGAUGAGUGCUAAGUGUUAGGGGGUUUCCGCCCCUUAGUGCUGCAGCUAACGCAUUAAGCACUCCGCCUGGGGAGUACGGUCGCAAGACUGAAACUCAAAGGAAUUGACGGGGGCCCGCACAAGCGGUGGAGCAUGUGGUUUAAAUUCGAAGCAACGCGAAGAACCUUACCAGGUCUUGACAUCCUCUGACAACCCUAGGAGAUAGGCUUCCCUU
rnacentral:rRNA from 1 species